UGUUAAGAUCUACAACUCUGGGGCUGAGAUGUUAGAACCUUUAGAAAAACGCCUUCCUAUCAGAAAGGCCCGAUUUUUGAGAGUUUUAAUUCUGCACAGAGAAGAGAGUCUUUGAUGUCAGAAAAAAAGACUGUCCUAUGUGAAGCCCGGCAUGUUUCUCAGCAACCAGAGAUCCUAGGUUGAUGGUCAAGAGAUUGAGGAAUUUAACCCUUUCUCUACUGUGAUAAAUUCAAUAGAGCAUUCAACUUUGUGCAAAAGACAUUCUUUAAAGUAAGAAAUAAAUUUCAGUGAAAGAAACUUG